UGAUGAUGAUGGUGGUGGUGACGAUGGUGGUGAUGAGGACGAGAGUCUCUGUCCUCUUCGCCUCCAUCGUCCCCUCUACGCGG